CAGGGUUUCACUCUGUUGGCCAGGCUGGUCCCAAACUACUGACCUCGUGAUCCACCCGCCUUGGCCUCCCAAACUGCUGGGAUUACAGGUGUGAGCCACGGCGCCCGAUCACUGCAUCUUUGGCCAAGUGUAAAUGGCCAGAAAACUUUUUACCACAUUGCAACAAAAGAGCACAAUGAAGAGUCAAAGAUCCCAGCUGGGCGCAGUGGCUUCAACGUAUAUUCAGUAAAUACAGUAUUCUUAGGAGUUUUUUAAUCUUGUAUUAUUUCUCCCUUUACCUUUUACAGGGAUUUUCAUUUAUUAAAACUCAGUGAUCUAGGCUUCUACUAGCAUAAAGCCCUAUGAAGACAGACUGCCUGCAUCAGCUUUGUAUUCCCACUGUAGGGAUAAUACAUAUAUUCAGUAAAUGUUUAUCAAAUGACUAAGCUUUAAAAUGAUCAAAUAUGCCAAGAUUCAGAUUGUUUUAAUUACUGAUAAUAGAAAAUUGUUCUUUUUCUUCACUCCCCCUUUUAAUCAUUUUUCUUUCCAUCUACUCUCAAAGAUCAUUUGAAACACAGUUGUCAAGAGUGGAAGCAGAAUUGUUAAGAAGAGAAGCUCCUCCCUCGUAUGGACAAUUGAUUGCUCAGGGUUUAAUUCCACCAGUUGAAGAUUUUCCUGUUUGUUCACCUAAUCAGGCUUCUGUUUUGGAAAAUCUGAGGCUAGCGGUACGAUCUCAGCUUGGAUUUACUUCAGUCAGGCUUCCUAUGGCAGGCAGAUCAAGCAACAUUUGGAACCGUAUUUUUAAUUUUGCAAG
rnacentral:sRNA from 1 species